GAUGAAGAACGUAGCGAAAUGCGAUAGGUAGUGUGAAUUGCAGAUGUAACGUGAAUCAUCGAAUCUUUGAACGCAAAUUGCACUCUCUGGUAUUCCGGGGAGUAUGCCUGUUUGAGGGUCGCCAAAUCAACAUCGAAAUUCAUUUGCUUUUUGCAAAUGUUUAUCGGAUUUGAGCCGUCUUUUUAUUUUUUUUUAAAGUGGCUUAAAAUGUAUUUUUUUGGUAUCGAAAUACGUUAUUUUACGAUCCAAUCGAUCAAAAAACAAACGUUUCGAAUGCCGUCUUUUAAUGUAAUACGUUUGACUGUGUAUACAAUCAUGGUUUCAUUCGUAUACGAUUUUUAAUUUUUGACCUCAAAUCAGGUAAGAACACCCGCUGAACUUAAGCAUAUCAAUAAGCGGAGGA
rnacentral:misc_RNA from 1 species